GUCUCAAAAGAAGGCUUUAAAAAAAUGGUUCGGACGCUGGACAAGCGUUAUAAAAUACCAUCCCGAACACAUUUUAAUCAAGUGGCCAUUCCGAAACUUUAUAAUGAGUGUAAAAUGAGUGUUGAAUCCGAGCUCCGUGAAAUCGAUCAUUUCGCCACAACCACGGACCUGUGGACGAGCCGGACAACUGAACCAUACAUAAGUUUAACAGUCCAUUUUAUCACAACAAACUUCGAACUCAAGACCCGCUGUCUGCAGACGACAUUCUUCCCCGCGGAGCAUACCGGGGAUAAUAUAGCGGAGGAGAUGAGAGGUGCGUUAGCAGACUGGAACUUGAAGGAGGACCAACAAGUUUGCGUGACAACUGAUAAUGCGUCGAACAUGAUAAAGGCUAUGGAGGUGAAUGGCUGAACGCGCCUUCAGUGCUUCGGACACAGGCUACACCUGGCAAUAGAAAACGCAGUGAAAGGUGAUAGCCGGAUCAGCCGUGCAACAGGUGUCUGCAAAGUUGGUGUGCCACUUCUCACAUAGCUGGAAAAAGAGAGUGGCACUUGAGCAAGCCCAGAAGCGCCUCAACCUUCCAGUCCACGAACUCAUCACUGAGUGUCAAACUAGAUGGGGGUCUAGGGUGCUCAUGAUUAACAGGAUUCUGGAGCAGCAGAAAGCACUCCACGAGGUCCUCUCAGAGGACAGAAACACCCGGCACCUAAUUCUUGGAUAUCAAGAUCUGGAUGUGCUGCACAGCAAGGCACUGGGACCACUGCUUGAAUUCACGGAUGCUCUGUCAGGGGAGGAUCACAUUAGUGUUUCACACAUCAAACCAGUACUCAGCCUGUUUAACACAACUAUCUUGGCACCAGAGGAGGGUGAAACAGACAUGACCAAGUCCUUAAAAAAGAAAAUUUUGGAGUACUUGAACAGCAAGUAUGAAGAGAGAGUUACACAAGAGCUCUUGGAUGUGGCAUCCUUCUUAGAUCCAAGAUACAAGACACAAUACAUCAGUGUCAACGACGUCCCCAUCAUCAAAGCCAGACUGGUGUCAGAGAUGAAGAUGAUGGAACACAAGCAUUCUGUUGAGUGCAGAGAGACCAGAGUGGAAGAAGUUUCAACCCCACCCACCAAAAAGGCUUAAGAAGUCAUUGGGAAGUUUCUUCAAAAGAUCCACCACAGUACCAAUCGAUCCCACUGCUGCCAUAGAAGCUGAGCUGAGUGCCUACAUCCAGUCCCCCACAAUUGACAACGACGAGGACCCCCUUCUGUGGUGGAGAUUAACUCACAAAGUCAACUUUCCCCGGCUCAGCAACAUGGCAAGAAAAUACUUGUGCAUGCAGGCCACCAGCUCUCCCUCAGAGAGAAUUUUUAGUGCAUCAGGCAACAUUGUGAGUUGUCAGAGGUCCUGUCUGAAGCCAGACAUGGUUAACAAGCUAGUGUUCCUGGCAAAGAAUCUGUAGAAGUUGUGCUGCCUGUAACUACCUCUCUGUCAGUAGCAAUGCAUUUUCUGCAUACAGUUAUGUGAUCUUUUGAAGAAUAUAAAUGUUGCACUUCAAUGCACUUUCAAUGUUCCACCAGCUACUGCAUUUGUUAUUUAUUGUUAAAGCAGAGCUGCAGUAAAAUGUUUGAUUUGUAAUUAUUUUUUUUGGUAAUUUAUGU